rnacentral:rRNA from 1 species
ACUCAAAGGAAUAGACGGGGGCCCGCACAAGCGGUGGAGCAUGUGGUUUAAUUCGACGCAACGCGAAGAACCUUACCAGGGCUUGACAUCCUUCGAAUCCUUAUGAAAAUAGGGAGUGCCCCUUCGGGGGAGCGAAGAGACAGGUGGUGCAUGGUUGUCGUCAGCUCGUGUCGUGAGAUGUUGGGUUAAGUCCUGCAACGAGCGCAACCCCUACGGUUAGUUGCUAACGGUAAAAGCCGAGCACUCUAACAGAACUGCCGGUGACAAAUCGGAGGAAGGUGGGGAUGACGUCAAAUCAUCAUGCCCUUUAUGUCCUGGGCUACACACGUGCUACAAUGGCCGGUACAAAGGGCGGCAAAGUCGCGAGGCUAAGCGAAUCCCAAAAAGCCGGUCUCAGUUCGGAUUGCAGGCUGCAACUCGCCUGCAUGAAGCCGGAAUCGCUAGUAAUCGCAGGUCAGCACACUGCGGUGAAUACGUUCCCGGGCCUUGUACACACCGCCCGU